UCAGUUCACGUUCGCCCAAAAUAUGAACGAGUUUAUGAACUAUCUUGCAAUGAACGCGUUCAGGCACAACACCGCGAGUAGACGCGCAAUGAACUUGAAGCGCGCAUAGCGUGACCGCGCUACUCUAACGCAGAUGGCGUGACUGCAGCGGGCGUUGACAUAUUUUGAUGUUUAUUUGAUGGUUUAGGCCAAGCUUCUCUUUCUCGGUUUAAAGAACUUUUAAUAACUCUUAAAAUAAAGCAUAGACGUUACGUUUAGACUUUAAAGCAGGGGCGAAACCGCGAAGGAAAGCAACAGCGUGUCACAUUUUCAUGUUGGUGGGAAUCGAAACCGAAACUAGAAUCUGACUCGUCACACAGCUCCUCUGUGAAUUUGAGUUCAUUUCCCCUCGAGCUCUACAGGAGAACAGGACAAGUCUUGCGGCGUUUUUCUUUCGAUUUAGAUUUAAAGGGGAUAUUGUUAAAAUGGCGACAGAAGCAGGUAGAUGUAGUCCAUUAUUUGAUCGUCCUGACACUCGAGCUCGAGGCCGUGGGGAAGCAGAUUCGCGACCUGGAGGUAAGGC